CCCUUCCCUAUGGCUCAACCUGGCACCAGGAUUUAUUGCUUUUAUUUUAAUAGGUUAAUUACUUUGACAGGUAUCUCCCCUGAUGGACGGGCAGCUCCUGGAAGGCAGGGCUGUGCUGAUUGAUGCCUGGGGCCCACUCCUGCACCAAGUCAGUGCCUCACUCCAUAGACCCAUCAGUGGGAUCUUCAGGAGGGGUAGAAGGUCUAGAUUUCAGGCUUCCCAGCCCGGCCUGCUCAGCAUCAAUUGUAUGACUACCCUAUUUCAUAAAUAUGGAAAUAUCCAUCUUACAGUUGUAGCUGUUGUGAG
rnacentral:lncRNA from 1 species